CUGGCUGAAGUCGGACUCUCAACCGACUGCACCACCCAGGCGCCCCUGUGAUUUCAGUUUAUGCCUAUGCCCAGAAUGAAGGAUGCCUCAUGUUACAUACUGCCUAUCCUCUAAAAUAUUUUUCUACAUAAUCAACCUUCCUUGGUAAUUGAACUCCCAGUUUUUUUGGUGGGGGCAUACCAUCCCAGAAUACAUAUUAUAACCUCCAACCUCCCUUAUGGUUAUAUGUACCCACAUAAUUUAGUUCUGGCCAGUGGAAUAAAAGUGGAUGUACAACUUUUGGAUAUUGUCCUUAAUGGGAGAGGGGAAAUGUUUGUCAUCUUUCCUCUUUACUGCCUGGAUGUGGGUGUAAUGGCUGGAGUUCCAGGAGCUAUCAUGUAUCAUUAUCUUGGGAAUGGAAGCCAUGCAUGCAGAACAGGAACAACAUGGACAUCCUGAGAGCAUGAAGUUCCCAUAUCACCUCUGGACCGCAUACCUAUGGACUUCUAUAUAACCGAGAAAUAAACAACUAUAUUGUUUAACCUAGUUUUGUUAAUUUUAAUCCUAGUUUAAUCCAGUUUUGUUUUUUAAUUUUAAUUCUAGUUGGAACCUAAUUUUAACUGAUAUGGUCCUCCAAGCCAGCUGCCUUUAUUCAGCUAUCAACCGUAAUUCUAUUGCACAAAACAUGUUUUAUACAACAGAUAAAUUCCUAAACUUUUUUGGGGGGUAAAAUUUGAAGAUAGUUAAAAUAUAAUAAUAGGGGCUAUCAUUUAAAGAAACCAAAUGGAAAGUUCUUCUAUAAAGUAUUUACAUUUUUUUUUUGUUUGUUAUAAAAAGGCUUACCGAUCUAAAUCCUGAAACAGAAAAAAAGAGUAUUAAUAGCACUACUGAUAUGAUUUAAAUAAAGUCUGCAGUGUGGUUAAUAGUA